UACAGAGGGUGCAAGCGUUUAAUCGGAAUUACUGGGCGUAAAGCGCGCGUAGGUGGUUCGUUAAGUUGGAUGUGAAAUCCCCGGGCUCAACCUGGGAACUGCAUUCAAAACUGACGAGCUAGAGUAUGGUAGAGGGUGGUGGAAUUUCCUGUGUAGCGGUGAAAUGCGUAGAUAUAGGAAGGAACACCAGUGGCGAAGGCGACCACCUGGACUGAUACUGACACUGAGGUGCGAAAGCGUGGGGAGCAAACAGG
rnacentral:rRNA from 1 species